UACGUAGGGUGCAAGCGUUGUCCGGAAUUAUUGGGCGUAAAGAGCUCGUAGGCGGUCUGUUGCGUCGGCUGUGAAAACCCGGGGCUCAACCUCGGGCCUGCAGCCGAUACGGGCAGACUAGAGUUCGGCAGGGGAGACUGGAAUUCCUGGUGUAGCGGUGAAAUGCGCAGAUAUCAGGAGGAACACCGGUGGCGAAGGCGGGUCUCUGGGCAGUAACUGACGCUGAGGAGCGAAAGCGUGGGGAGCGAACAGG
rnacentral:rRNA from 1 species